rnacentral:rRNA from 1 species
AUCCGGCUCAGGAUGAACGCUAGCUACAGGCUUAACACAUGCAAGUCGAGGGGCAGCAUGGUCUUAGCUUGCUAAGGCCGAUGGCGACCGGCGCACGGGUGAGUAACACGUAUCCAACCUGCCGUCUACUCUUGGACAGCCUUCUGAAAGGAAGAUUAAUACAAGAUGGCAUCAUGAGUCCGCAUGUUCACAUGAUUAAAGGUAUUCCGGUAGACGAUGGGGAUGCGUU